UGCAGCAUGGUGUAAUGGUUUGAGUGUAAGACUAGGACUCUGGAGAUUGGGGUUUGAGUCCCUGCUCUGCCA